UACAGAGGGUGCGAGCGUUAAUCGGAAUUACUGGGCGUAAAGGGUGCGUAGGUGGUUAGUUAAGUUAGAUGUGAAAUCCCUGGGCUUAACCUAGGAAUUGCAUUUAAGACUGAUUGGCUAGAGUUUGGGAGAGGGAAGUGGAAUUUCCGGUGUAGCGGUGAAAUGCGUAGAUAUCGGAAGGAACAUCAGUGGCGAAGGCGACUUCCUGGCCCGAUACUGACACUGAGGCACGAAAGCGUGGGGAGCGAACAGG
rnacentral:rRNA from 1 species